GGCCCCUUCGUCUAGUGGUUAGGACUCAAGGUUCUCAAUCUUGCAACACGGGUUCAAAUCCCGUAGGGGUCACCA
rnacentral:tRNA from 1 species